CCUACGGGUGGCAGCAGUGGGGAAUAUUGGGCAAUGGGCGCAAGCCUGACCCAGCAACGCCGCGUGAAGGAAGAAGGCUUUCGGGUUGUAAACUUCUUUUCUGAGGGACGAAGAACGUGACGGUACCUCAGGACUAAGCCACGGCUAACUACGUGCAAGCAGCCGCGGUAAUACGUAGGUGGCAGGCGUUAUCCGGAUUUAUUGGGUGUAAAGGGCGGGGUGGCGGGAAAGAAAGUCAGAUGUGCAAUCCCAGGGGUCAACCCUGGGCCUGCAGUUGAAACUGGUUGUCUUGAGUGCUGGAGAGGCAAUCGGAAUGCCGUGUGUAGCGGUGAAAUGCGUAGAUAUACGGAAGAACACCAGUGGCGAAGGCGGAUUGCUGGACAGUAACUGACGCUGAGGCGCGAAAGCGUGGGGAGCAAACAGGAUUAGAUACCCGGGUAGUC
rnacentral:rRNA from 1 species